UACAGAGGGUGCAAGCGUUAAUCGGAAUUACUGGGCGUAAAGCGUGCGCAGACGGUUGCGUAAGUCAGAUGUGAAAGCCCCGGGCUCGACCUGGGAAUUGCAUUUGAGACUGCGUAGCUAGGGUGCGGAAGAGGGAAGCGGAAUUUCCGGUGUAGCGGUGAAAUGCGUAGGAUAAUCGGAAGGAACACCAGUGGCGAAAGCGGCUUCCUGGUCCAGCACCGACGUCAGGCACGAAAGCGUGGGGAGCAAACAGG
rnacentral:rRNA from 1 species